AAGUAAAAAUCGUAACAAGGUCUCCGUUGGUGAACCAGCGGAGGGAUCAUUAGAGAGUGCCCUACUCCCAAAACCCAUGUGAACUUACCUGUACGUUGCCUCGGCGGGGGAGGGGCUGGCCACCCCCCCUCCGCCAGGCGGCCCACCAAACCCUGUUUAGCCCUGAAUCUCUGAGACGAUAAAACAAUGAGUUAAAACUUUCAACAACGGAUCUCUUGGCUCUGGCAUCGAUGAAGAACGCAGCGAAAUGCGAUACGUAGUGUGAAUUGCAGAAUUUAGUGAAUCAUCGAAUCUUUGAACGCACAUUGCGCCCGCCAGUAUUCUGGCGGGCAUGCCUGUUCGAGCGUCAUUUCAACCCCUUAAGCCCUUGUCGCUUAGUGUUGGGAGCCGACGGCGUCCUGCCGUCGCUCCUCAAAUCCAGUGGCGGAGCCGGUUUCGCGCUCUGGGCGUAGUAGAUUUUCUCCAUCUCGCCUGCAGCCGGGGCCGGCCUCCCUGCCGUAAAACCACCACCAAUGUACCCAAAGGUUGACCUCGAAUCAGGUAGGAAUACCCGCUGAACUUAAGCAUAUCAAUAC
rnacentral:rRNA from 1 species